AGGAGUGGUUGGCUCACGUGGGAGCUCGUGGGCCCUGGCCCAGCUGAUUAAAACCCAUUGCCAAGGCUGCCGGGAAGGGGCAGAGCGUGGGGUCAGCAAACACCGCGUGGGGCAAUAACUUGGAAUUCAGAGUCAGCUUGGAGCAAUCGAGAUAGCGGCCAGAUUCAACUUGCAGCUCCGCCUGGGAGACCUGAUGCAGCACGUGGCCAUCCAGAAGGCAACAAGCUCUGCGAGGGAAGCUCUUCUAAUUACUUUUCAAUGGAAAGAACAUUUGGUAACCAGCACCGUACCUUGCAAUCAUCAGCUGCCACUUCUGGCCUGAGCUGCCCGUCUGCCUCAAACAUCUGCCCGUUCCAGGCCCUGAAGCGCAAAGCGUUUUCCGAAGGUCUCUCAGAGGAGCCGUCCCGCCAGACCGAGGUGUUCAGGCAGUGGAUGGUGAUGUGCUGCACCACCUCCGAGCUCAGGAGGCGGAGGAAGUUCAUCUGGACUCUACCGAUGUCAAAAUCCAGCUGUGGGGGUGACAGAUGUUAGGAUGUACCCCCAGAGCGGGGCUAGUGGGGGGGUUAGGGAUGGGACGGCAAAGGUGGGCCCUGUGCUCUGCUUUGGUCCGGAGGUGAGUGUGCACACAUGUCCAGAGCUGGACCUGGUGUGAGUGUGGCCAUAAGGGCCAGACGCCAAGUCAAUUUAGGAAGUUUUCAUGAGGACACAGCAGGUCCUUUAUUUUUCAGAACAAACUGGUAGGUCCUUAAAUAGGGGGAAAAAAACAUGCACUUUGAAUUAAACACACGCUUCUGUAAAGCAGCAGGUUCUAGUUCAUCUGCAGAUGAACCCAGACAUUGUUAUUAAUGCUUUCGGUACAGGUGCUUCCUCAUUAAAAACCUUGUAGCAUUAACUUCCCUGGAAAUUGUAUAUUUACGCUGACCUCACUCUUUCAGGUGGCAGAAAACAAAAUGCAAGAGUGACCUGAACACAAGUUAAUUCAACAAAGCAGUUGGGAGCAGCAUGUUUGCAAAAUUACUGGCCUCUGUUAAGGUUACGGGUUAAUUAAACAUUGCUGGAAAAGCA